rnacentral:sRNA from 1 species
UUUGACUAACGGAACAGUCUGGUACUGG